GAUUGGUUGGAAAUUAUUUUGUCUUCGUAUCAUUUUCUUUCUCUUCACUCGGGUUUUCCUAAAUUUUUUUUCUUGUUCUCUCCGAAGAGGCGAAACGGCGAAACUCCGAGACCUUUCUUCGUCUCCGAUUCCGGUUGACUAAAUUAUGACUCGCGAUUAUGACUCGCGAUUGUGUUUUCUGUGUUGAUCAUACGCAGCGAUCUCAAAGGACUCAUGUCGGCGUUGCAGAAAAUCAGAGAGAAGGCGGACGAGGAUGGCCGUAAGAAGAAGGAAGAAAGCAUCUCCAGCAUGUCCAAUGAGGUUAAUUCAAAGAUUGAGGAGCUGAAGUCAAAACUUGAGAAAGAAAGACAAAACUUUACCAAAGCACUUUCAAAGAGUUCAAAGGAGGUCUGAACAAAGAUCCGAAGAUGAUCGGAAUGGUGUCCAUUGGAGAUGUGGUCCGAGCUGUGGUGAGUGAGCAUCGAGAGGAGCUUCAACGCCUUAAUGCGUUUAUUCAGGGAGGUUACUAGAUCUUGAAGAUUGGUAAGACAAGAGUCACCGUUUGUUUCUGGUCUAGUGCGAGUGCCUGCUGAAUCUGAAAAGCUUUUAGAUCAAUGUAUAUAUGCUGUCCUGUUGUUGUUGUUGUUGUGUUCUGUUUGAUGUUUGUUGUUUCGUUGUUUAACUUUCAGUUAUAUUAGAAUCCUUCAUUAACUUAAAAUACAAACAAGAAAUCCAAGUCCAAUAUAUAAAACGGACAGAUUUUCUAAUAAUUGUAAUCGGUCAAAAA